UUUACCAUAGCAUCUAAAUUUGCAGAGUUAACAUAUGAGAUUUUGAUGGAUGAAUAAACUUUCCUUGAUUCUUAUAGUUUCAUCCCCGUGCAAUUUAUAAAAACAAACAUUUUAUUUUGACGACAACCACGUCAACCGGAAGCUGCAUAGCUUCGAAGCUAACAUUGCUCAUUGUGCAAAGAACGCUAACUAGACACCGGUAGGAAAGAAGGGGCAGGACGCCUUUCACUCGUGCACCUACAUAAACCUUUGGCAGUUUAGACCACAAGAUUUCCGAUAAAACGCUGGAUUAGGGUAAAACGUGAUGUAAAAAAAUCUUCCGGAAAAUUCAAUUUAAGGACGCGACAAAAAGAAAAACAGUUCAUCCUUCAACGGUGGAGUUUUGAAGGACAAGUGACAGACAGCUUUGACGGAAGACCGAAGUUCGUCUUUGAACCUUAAAUAUGUUUUUACGUUAAUAUCGCUUUCAAAUAACCCUUUUAAAGGAAUGGAAACUGUCGUAUCAUCCCGUUAUGUACACUAAAGCAAAGCUGCUCCGCUGUCCCAACUGUUGUCGGUGAAGAAGUAAUCAUGGCUUCUACACUGCGUGAGCCAAAGGGAGCAGCGGCCCAAACCGAUCCAGUCAUGGGAUAGGAUACCUCACAAGUCACAAAAACUGUUCAUAUUGUUAAGCCUGUUGUCUACUGAUACUUUUUCGAAGCUUUACCAAGUUGUUUGGCAGUCAGGGCUACUGUAAACAUCCUUGACUGGAAGCUGGUGUUGGGUCUUGGGGCUUUCAGUCGGAUGUUUGCAGCAGCCACCUGCUAGUACCAUCAUGUUGAUACCUGGACACUUGAUCCUGGAUAACUAACUACAUGUGAAAUGCAUACCUACUGCUGUUGACCAAAACAAGUGGCCACUGUCCUAGAGAUAAAAUCGCAGUCUCUGUUUUAGGGCUCUAUUUCCGUCGACAGCAGGAUGGUCCCGGAUUGCUGAGCAUGUUUGACAAUUUGGCAGACUGCUCUCAGCCAAGCGAGGCACGAUACUGCUGCUUUCAAAUUGUCAAAGCGGGCAAAAGCGAAUAUCAAAAGUAAAAUCCGAAACAAACCGGCCAGCGGAAAUAAUGAGCAGCCUCGUCCUCUUGAGAGACAAGACCAAAAAGCAGUUGAGAUAUUGAUUGACGUCUGUGCACAUUAGUGGCGCUGUGUAACACACCACAGGACCACAGACAUGGAAGAAGGAAGGAAGGAAGUAGGCGUGCCAUUAUUACAAACAACCUUACGGCCACAUCCAUCAUACCGUGCCAUGCUUCUUGCAGCUUUUGUUUAAAGAGUCUUCAGUGGUCAUGGAAAAACUAGGGGACAUCUUAUUCCCACAAUAUUGACCCGUAUCACCUCAUGAACUAAUUUUAUUGUAUUUCUUCCUCCCCUACAUUUUUUAAAUGCAAUGACUUCUGAGUUGCAGGAAGUGUAAACAUCCUACACUCUCGGCAUCCACCCCCUGGUGGCCGGGAGUGGGGCUGUUUGCACUGCAUGGCUCAGGAAUUCAGCAACUGGUGGGACCAAAGAUAUCCUAUCAGUGGUUAUUUAUUUCGCUGGUUGGAACAAGUCACACUGUAGUCACAUAGUGUAUGUUCAGCUAAUGUCAUACUUGCUCUCUCGUGUUUAUUUAGAGAAUAUAAUGUUCAUGUUUGAGCCCUUUACAUUGGUUCAGAAGGCACUUAAAGCCCUUUUCAGGGUGGGUUGACAAAUUGUGUUUUUAUAUGCUUUGCAAGAAUGCCAUAUUGUAUCAAUUAUACAAAUUCAAAUGUGAUGAAUAUAAAGGAAUCUAUGAAUUGUAUCAUUGCUCUUUUUUGUGCAAUCUUGCAUGCAUGAGAAUUAACUUCAAUUGUUGCUGUUGCAAUUUCUAAUGUGCAGAAAGUACAAAGUUUUAGAUCUAAUUUGAGUUAUGUCUUCUAAAUAAAAUACAAUACUUGCAGUA